rnacentral:rRNA from 1 species
GCCUCGUGAAUAUUAUAAGAGGUCCAGCCUGCCCAGUGACUUUGUUCAACGGCCGCGGUAUCCUAACCGUGCGAAGGUAGCGUAAUCACUUGUUCUUUAAAUGAGGACUAGUAUGAAUGGCACCACGAAGGUUAUACUGUCUCCUUUCUUUAAUCAGUGAAACUAAUCUCUCCGUGAAGAAGCGGGGAUAUAAUUAUAAGACGAGAAGACCCUAUGGAGCUUUAAACGUGAGUAACAAUUGCCCGCCAUAAUAUUUUUCCCCGGAAACUAACCGCAAUACUUAGGCAUCUUGAUUACAAGUUUUAGGUUGGGGUGACCGCGGAGCAGAAAAUAACCUCCGCAGUGAAUGGAACUUACUUCCUAAACCCAGGGCUACGACCCUAAGCAUCAAUAAAUUGACACUAAUUGACCCAAUAUUUUUGAUCAAUGAACCAAGUUACCCUAGGGAUAACAGCGCAAUCCACUUCAAGAGCCCCUAUCGACAAGUGGGUUUACGACCUCGAUGUUGGAUCAGGGUAUCCCAGUGGUGCAGCCGCUACUAAAGGUUCGUUUGUUCAACGAUUAAAACCCUACGUGAUCUGA